rnacentral:lncRNA from 1 species
CCGCCGACGAGCACAAACGCACCAAAAAACCUGUGUAAGAAAGGCAUCGUUAUUUAUCAGAAACAAUUAUUUAGUAAUUACUAUUUAGCAGAAUGACUAAUAGGUAAGACAUACAGGUGCAAAGAUCUCAUGCUCUCAUGGUAAAUCCUAUAAUUAACCAGGGUCAUCAUUCUUAAUCACAAUCCACAACUACAAAACCAAGAAAAGCCUUAGUGAUCAUGAAGGGCAUGAAUGAUUAGCAAAAAGUGGAACGGGCUGAUGAGAGAUACACAGAGUGAGAGGCAUGAGAUCCUCACAGUAGCACCACCAUGUUUAGAGACUUGCAGCUCCGGCUUGCUGCUCAGCCGGCGGACACGACACCGACCUCUCACCGCAUCAACGACUCGGUUGUACGCUAUAUGGAGCAGCAGAAAAAAGGAGAUCAGAACUGUAAAUAUGAACAUCUAUGAGAGAGGGGAACCUGAGAUGCGGUACCUGAGCGCACGCGCAACACGAGUACAACAACCGCACACGAUGGUGACCCCAACGGAGCAGUGGCCU